AGUAGAAGGAUAACAUGACAUAGCAGGAAUAAUACUGCCUUUUCUUUCUGGCAUGGAUCAAGAGAAAAGAAAAUACAAGAAAACAGACAGAAGAUCCUAUCUGCGACAAUUAAGAGCACUCUAAGAGGAAAACACAUCCCACCACACAAGGCAAGGUACUUCUAUGGAAGGGUGAGCCCUCACAGAUGGAGCAAUGGGGCGCGCACACCUGAACAAGGGAGGGGAAGGAGUUCUUAUCCCUGAUGCAUGUGACCCCUGCUGCUGUGUCCUUCCCCUAUUGGCUAAGGCUUCUGACAGCUUUGGAGAUUGUGACAUUGGAAUAAAGGAAAAACGUACAGGACUCAUGAAGCGCUGAAAUGUUCACAAAUAUCAAGCAAAAGUCAAUGAAAUUUAUUUUGAGCUAUUUACAUCAUUUAAUAAUUGAGCAAGGUAUACUCCUAUGAACAAAAUUUGGAGCAUGUUUGUCUCUCUCUGCCUGGCGUCUUCAGAAUUUGGAAACUAGUUAUGGUUUAUAAUCAGCUAUAGAAUUUUAACACGUGCUCUCAAAUGCAAGUUUCUGAUAACUUUGGAGAUUGUGACAUUGGAAUAAAGGAAGAGCUGGAAUGUUCAUGAAUAUCAAGCAAAAGUCAUGGAAAUUUAUUUUGAGCUAUUUACAGCAUUUAAUAAUUGAGCAAGGUAUACUCCUAUGAACAAAAUUUGGAGCAUGUUUGUCUCUCUCUGUCUGCCUGGCAUCUACAGAAUUUGGAAACUAGUUUCGUUCCCAGAUUUCCUAAACUUUCCAGAGAAAAUGGUCUUCUCCCUGGCUCAGCAAGAAGAUGAACUUUAAACACUGAGAAACUGGUCAUCUCCCUGGCUCAACCAGAAGAUGAACUUUAAACACUACUCUCAAUGACUUGAUGUUCCCAUCACUACUCCUGUCAUAAAGGGAGGGGACUCAGAUAUUGAGAAUUUUAUGAUAGUGUGAACUGUCUGGUAUGUCAUUUAAGUAAGCCCGUUGCUGAAAUAUUUUCCAUGUUAUUAGAAAGAGCUGAAGAGAGGGAUUGAGAUGGCUUCUUUAUUUUUUGUCUUUUGGGAAUUAAAGGAACCUGGUUCAACAAGGGCCUACACCUAAGUCUCUUGUUGUACCAGAGUACAAUUUAGGACUGCUCCUGAGGAAGGAAUUAGCUAGAAAUCUAGAGAGUAAGGGUAACAGAUUUACAUAGAAUAACAGCCUCAGUAUUUUUGGUUCCUCUCCAGUAAAGAUCACAAAGAAUAUUGCUAAAUCGCUAAAACACCUUUGCAAUAACGUAAGGGCUUACAACUAUAUACCAAUGUAGCUCAGUUACUAAACUGGAGUAAACUAAUUUCUCUUGUGUAGAAAAAUUGGUUGGCUGUGGUUUUAUAGCAGAUCUGCAAUUAUUAAUAGUUAUGCCAAUAAUCGUUUAACAGUGCAUAUGUUAAUAUAUAUGGAAAGACAAUGUGUAUAGACAGAUGUGUAAAAUUGAAAAAUAAACAUAUAACAAGAGAGAAACAUCUAUCGAACAGACAAUAUACAUACACAUCAAACACAACAGCAGUUUUAGUGACCAUAAUAUUUAUUUCUCAUUUUUACAUUGCUUACUUUAGUGACAACUGAAAAUGACAGUUGGCAAUGCAGCUAACAGUUUCAAUAAAAGUAUAAAACAAAAGACUGUGUACAAAGCACCUGUCUUUCCGCUUUUGUAAUCUUCCGUUGGAAAAAAUUUACACACCUAAGUAACCAUCUGUUUUCUUCAAGAAAAAAUCAUUCUUAUUUCUCUCUCUCAUCUUGAAAACAGCUGUCAGCCAGGAGGGCAGAGCUGAAAUUUAUUGCCACAUCACAUGAAGCAUAGAACAGACUCCACUACUCCUUGAGAUUCAAAACUUUGCCUCUCACAAAGUUACCUUUUAUUUUCCUCUUGUUUGUCACUCAUCUCCCCUAGUGUGCUCUUUUUAUUUCUUUUACUAUUAAUAAUAAAAUCUGUGGAUGACUGUA
rnacentral:lncRNA from 1 species